UUAUGAAGGACGACUGAGGAAUACGGAAGAAAAUAGAUGGGCUGGGAAAGUGUUUAGUUAUUUGCACAGGAAAAACAUUGAAUGACAGUGGAGGAAAGGAACUAAGAAGCUUACUCGCAAGUAUGCGACCGGUCGUGUGGACAACACUGCAACAA
rnacentral:lncRNA from 1 species